AACACUCCGAAAACAACAACAAACAGAAAUUAAAUCCAACCCAGUUUUCUAGACUGCUUUAUCAUCUAGAAAAAUCUACAAGCCAAAUGUAUAUGAGAAAACAAAUUUCAAGGGGUAAAAACCUUUCAUUUCCUAGACUACUUUAGAACUUUGCUUCCCCUUUCAUUCUCAACUAUCUCAACUAUGGCUUUUUAAUAGAGGCCUCUAUCCGUCGUGACUGUCAAGACUAUAUCUUUAGACAUUCGUGUCGAGAUCGUGUCCAACCUCUUUUUUUUUAACGUAUUUCAACGAGUCCUGUACGUAUUCGAGCGUGUCCAAUGAGUGUUCAUGCCGGACACACGUACAACACUAGUGCGAUGAGGGAUGAGUCAUGUUUGUGCUUCCUAGCUUCCAACAUACUUUAUGUCGUGUUCCUUUCUACCAAAGACUGUGCUCAGAUUUAGAAAAGACUAUGAAUCAAUUUUUGUGGCAGAAAAGCUCGAGUCAGAAAGGAAUGCAUUGGAGUAAAUGAGCCGAUUUGUGUUUGCCAAAAGAGAGUGGAGCAUAUAUGCGACACGAAAAUUGCUGGAAGACGGGAUUGGUUGGCGAGUGGGAUCUGGCACCCCAAUUUCAAUUUGGAGAGAGAAAUGGCUUCCGUGAUGGGCUCGUGGACAAAUUCGACAAACAAGAGUUAACGAGAAUAUAGAAAGGGUGGCGGAUUUGACAGAUCACUCGUCUAAAAGUUGGAAGGAAGGGCUCAUUACCAGUGUUUUUACUCUUAAGGAAGCUGCAACCAUUCGGUGUAUUCCCUUAUCCAGAAGAGUUGAUGUUGACAAGAUUGUUUAGAGGGGUGAGAAUACUCUGUCCGGAGCGGGUAUCGAACUCUAAUCAGCGACCAGAUUACAGUGGACGACAUACAUGAGAGCAGAGAAAUUUACAAAAAAAAAAAAACUCUGGCAAUUACAGAUUCCUCCUAAAAUAAAAAUUGCAAACUGACGAAUACUAGAUAAUUACAUCCUUACGGCCUAUA